GAUGAACGCUGGCGGCGUGCCUAAUACAUGCAAGUCGAGCGAACAGACGAGGAGCUUGCUCCUCUGACGUUAGCGGCGGACGGGUGAGUAACACGUGGAUAACCUACCUAUAAGACUGGGAUAACUUCGGGAAACCGGAGCUAAUACCGGAUAAUAUAUUGAACCGCAUGGUUCAAUAGUGAAAGACGGUUUUGCUGUCACUGAUAGAUGAAUCCGCGCCGCAUUAGCUAGUUGGUAAGGUAACGGCUUACCAAGGCAACGAUGCGUAGCCGACCUGAGAGGGUGAUCGGCCACACUGGAACUGAGACACGGUCCAGACUCCUACGGGAGGCAGCAGUAGGGAAUCUUCCGCAAUGGGCGAAAGCCUGACGGAGCAACGCCGCGUGAGUGAUGAAGGUCUUCGGAUCGUAAAACUCUGUUAUUAGGGAAGAACAAAUGUGUAAGUAACUAUGCACGUCUUGACGGUACCUAAUCAGAAAGCCACGGCUAACUACGUG
rnacentral:rRNA from 1 species